GCAUAUCAAUAAGCGGAGGAAAAGAAACUAACAAGGAUUCCCUUAGUAACGGCGAGUGAAGAGGGAAGAGCUCAAAUUUUAAAUCUAUCAUGUUUGUACAUGAUCGAGUUGUAAUUUGAAGAAGCGUUUUCUCGUACUUUAUGCAAUCAGUAUAAGUUCUCUUGGAACAGGACAUCAUAGAGGGUGAUAAUCCCGUCUGUUACUGGUUGUGAGGUUCGUUUAUGAUACGCUUUCAAAGAGUCGAGUUGUUUGGGAUUGCAGCUCAAAAUGGGAGGUAAAUUUCUCCUAAGGCUAAAUACCGGCGAGAGACCGAUAGCGAACAAGUACCGUGAGGGAAAGAUGAAAAGAAUUUUGAAAAGAAAGUUAAACAGUACGUGAAAUUGUUGAAAGGGAAACGAUUGAAGCCAGUCGUACUGACGGGAAAUCAGCUUCUCGAGUGCCUAUCGCGGGUGACGUUGAGCCUCACGGCCUUCGUUGCUUGUGUUGUUGGUGCUUUUGGGGUGUACUUUUCCGUAUGGUAGGUCAGCAUCGAUUUCGAACGUCAUAAAAUGAUCGGGGGAAUGUAGCUUCGGUCUCGUAUCGGAGUGUUAUAGACCUUGGCAGAUGUGACGAUUGGGAUCGAGGAUUGCAACGAAUACCCUUUUGGGCUAUCCGUCUGGCCUCUGAAAGUCGCUCGGGUGUCGAAAGCGUGCUUACGGCUAUCUGAGUUGGCGGUCAACAGGUUAGAACGCGGUUACAUUCGUUAAGGAUGUUGACGUA
rnacentral:rRNA from 1 species